GUGGUGUGCUCAGGAUUCUGCUCUUCUAAUGAUGUGGUUUUGUAUAUGCUUGGUGCUCGCAGUUGACGGAGAAAAAGCUGGCAACUUCAUGCGGGAGAUAAAGGUGCAGAAGCUCGUCCUUGACAUCUCCGUCGGGGAGUCAAGAUCGCCUCAGCCGUGCGCCGAUGUAACCAUGCAGGAUACGCGAUUUGGUGGUGCUACUUUUCCCAAGACUUGAGGACGUGAAGGUUUUACGGUAGCUCCACGUCAAGGUUUGAUGACAUGUGAAGCCUACUUAUCAAAAAAGUAUCAGAGCUUUGGUUGUACUGUACGAUACAUGAUGUAAUA